AGUAUUCGAGAUAGUGUGGAUUUAGUAUCCAUGAAGCGUACUGCACUUUGGCAUUUUGAAGACAUGGGACAGACUUGCACACUUACUUCCUGUCGCGCGCACGCUCUCUCAAGUGGCCAAGACCGCAAGUGUGGGUAUUUGGACAAGGGGAGAGUUUUCUGUGUACUGUUUGAUUUUUGGCCGUUUUACUCUCGUGGCGGAAAUGUACAGUCUCUUGUUCUUUCAUUUUGUUUUGUUUUUUACAUAAUUUACACAACGUGCUUAAAUAAACCAAUAUUUAGCUACCAAAGAUGUAAGACGUAGUUUGAUCCGCGUCUGAUUCGUGUGUUUAACCCGUUGCUAUGGCGACGGAAUGGCUGAGUUCGCGCAGAUCGACGUUCUGCGAAAGCAGAACAAAUAUUUACUGGAUAAACUCGAGAAACAAACUGAGUCUGACACACUGCGUCAGCUGACACUCUCGUGUCCGGAUAAGGUGGACGAAAGUUACAGCUCGGUGUGCGAAGAAAGCGGACCGCAUCGAGUGUCUUUAACGGAGCGAAACGGAGCGCAGCCGCCGCGUGCUGGAGCUUCACCAUCGACACCAAAAACCGUCAAAAAAUCCGACGAACAGCAUCCUAGAGAUUGUGAAGACCCCACACUGGACCACCAUAAACCCAAACCCAGCCAAAGCUCAGAACUGAGCACCAACAGCACACUACUGGAAGACGUAGCGAACUGUCGCUGGAAGGGGCAGAGCAGAUCUGUGAGACUGAUGCUGCCCAAAUCUGUAGCUCGCACCCCCUGUGACCAGGCCUACUGGAUGCUGAAAGCUCUCUUGAAGAUCGUUCGGAGCAGUUAUUCUUCCAUCAGACCAAUCGAGACGAGUGCGUCCACAGCUUGUUAUCAGGAUUUCCAUCUGUUGCUGAUCUUGCAUCUUCCACGCUUGGCAGUGAAGAGCCGCAGACACCUGCAGACACGCAUCAGUGCACAUUCUGCUACAUAA
rnacentral:lncRNA from 1 species